AAACUUUCAACAACGGAUCUCUUGGUUCUGGCAUCGAUAAUUAACGCAACGAAAUGCGAUUCGUAAUGUGAAUUGCAGAUUCAGUGAAUCAUCAAAUCUGUGAACGCACAUUGCCCCCCUUGGUAUUCCCGGGGGCAUGCCUGUUCGAGCGUCAUUU
rnacentral:rRNA from 1 species